AUUGAACGCUGGCGGCAGGCCUAACACAUGCAAGUCGAGCGCGAAAGUUCUUCGGAAUGAGUAAAGCGGCGGACGGGUGAGUAAUACAUGGGAAUCUGCCUGGUAGUGGGGGACAACGUUUCGAAAGGAACGCUAAUACCGCAUACGCCCUACGGGGAAAGGGGGGAUCUUCGGACCUCUCGCUAUCAGAUGAGCCCACG
rnacentral:rRNA from 1 species